AAAACGACUCUCGGCAACGGAUAUCUCGGCUCUCGCAUCGAUGAAGAACGUAGCGAAAUGCGAUACCUGGUGUGAAUUGCAGAAUCCCGUGAACCAUCGAGUCUUUGAACGCAAGUUGCGCCCGAAGCCUUUCGGCCGAGGGCACGCCUGCCUGGGUGUCAUGC
rnacentral:rRNA from 1 species